UACGGUCAUAUCACGUUGAAACACCGGUUCUCGUACGAUCACUGAAGUUAAGCAACGUCGAGCCUGGUCAGUACCUAGUGACCGUUUGGGAAUACCAGGUGCUGUAAG